rnacentral:lncRNA from 1 species
UGUCAGCUCAUUUGUGGAAGAUAUCUCCCUGUGCUUUUUUGAAACAAAAAUCAAGGAGAGAGCAGGAGCUCGUAAGGUUGGAGCCAAUGGAUCUUUGAAGAAUGGAGCUGGCAAAAUGGGGAGACAGGUAAACGGAGGCUGAGCAGGCAGGACCUGCCACCCUCUGGGAGGCUUUGGAGUGAACUCAUCCUUGUUCUACACAUUGGAGUGAAACCCUUAGUUGCAAGUGUCAACAACCUAACAUGCACUAAAACAAAACCAAGAAAGGAAUGCAUCAGUACAUGUAAUUGCUCUUCUUGUUUCUACUCCUAUUAAUGUGUUGCCUUCCUUCUUUCCUGCGACAGACAACUGUUUGCACAACAUGGGAAAAGUGAUUGCUAACAGAUCCACAUCUUCACCUUUACAGGAGGAGGGCCUCCUCUCCAGUUUCUCAAUAGAACAAAAUCAUGGAAGGACUCCGAUUGGCCCUGCUUGCAUCUGUGCCCACCCUUGGACCAGUCACUAUGGUCCAAUCACUAUGGCUCUCUGCCACUGAGGAGGAGGCCUGGAACUGCACAGGCUUCAUAAACGGAUGAGAAGUCGAAUGGCUUCAGAGUGAACCUGCCUUGUAGGCGAUGGGCCCUGCUUUGAACUUCAUCAGAAUGCUUCAUUUAGCUUGAAUUCCAU